rnacentral:ncRNA from 1 species
UUGGUCACAUCUAAUUAAAAGGGAAUCUAGUUUAAAACUAGAGCUGUACCCGCAACUGUAAGCUAUAAAGCUUGUAAUUAAUUCUUUAGCCACUGACAAAUUUGUUGGGAAGGUCAAUUACAAGACGCAAGCCAGGAGACCUGCCAUUGUCAU